rnacentral:lncRNA from 1 species
UUUUCUGGGUAUCUUAUUUGUUAAUGCUUAAUUUUUCUUUCUUUUUUUCCCCCCCAACAAAGUGUACCUACCUUCCAGCAAAAAUCUCAAGCCCUCGUCAGAAACAAAGACUCAAAAAAGCUUAUUUUCAGAUGAGGAGGACUCUGAGGAUAAUCUUUUUGGGGGUACAGCUGCUAAGAAGCAGACAUUGUCUCUACAAGCUCAGAGACAAGAGAAAGCAAAACCCUCCGAGCUCUCCAAAAAGAAAGCAUCUGCCCUGUUGUUCAGCAGCGAUGAGGAGGUGAGCCGAGGUUUCUCCUAAGAAGAGGGGAGUAUUUGAUGGGAUUUAAGAGUUAAAGCCAUCCCAAGUAUCUUCUUUUUCUACCUGUUUUAUAUCUAGUGACAUUCAGUCACCAAAGGCGAUGUUCACAAGAUUGUCUUUUCUGAAGGAAGACAUUUAAUGUAAUAUAUAAUUUAAAGAUGAAUCUCUUCAGAAUGGUUCGGAAUAAGUAUGACUCCCGCACGAUAGUACAUGCUCCUUCUAAUGAGUUAGGCUGGCUAUGGGAGAAAUGAUUUCUCACCCAUCGCUAGGUUCAUGGUCAAGUCCCCUAUAACAAAUGACAGAUUAACCAGAGAAAAGUGUGCAAGUUUAUUGAAGAUAAGUUUUACCUGACACAGGAGCCUUCAGAAAAGAAGACUCAGAGCAACAGGAAAUCCUGUGUCAAUUGUAUGCUGUCUGUUGAAGAAGCGGACAGUUUUGGAGAAGCACCAUGAGAUGAAAGGGGUGUGACCUGAUGGGAAUAAGCUGGGGGAGCUCAGCAAGGCCUGUGUGGUCAGAUGAUUCUCUGCAUCUUUACAAAUAAGGAGGCUCCUUUCCUCUGGGAAUAGGGAGGACUGGAAUGAAGGUCUUAUGACCUACUCCCGAGAGGGUUGGAGGAUUCUUCUAUGGCCUGCUGCAGAGGAGAAGGCCCAGGGAAAGGUCAGAGAGAUCUUUCUGCUUCUCAGAUGCCAAGGUGUCAUAUUUUGAGGUAGCAUGUCCCGUAUACCCCAAUGGCCGUAUAUAGUAGUAUCUUCUUAAAUGACUACUGUGUUUCAUUAAUUUAGAACUAUAGCUAAACAUGGUAGGAGUUACCUAUUGAGGUUAAAUUCCUUUUUGAAGGAGUCUUACCAAUAUUUUUGUUUGUGAUCUGGAUAGCUAUUAUCAAAGUCAGUAGUGAAUAUAAGUUAGUUUAUUUGCUAACUCAAUCAGAUUUAGUAGCAGGAAAUCAGAUUUGGCUGUGCAGAAAUAUGAUGAUAUUGGCCGGGUGCAGUGGCUCACGCUUGUAAUCCCAGUACUUUGGGAGAUCGAGGCAGGUGGAUCACAAGGUCAGGAGAUCGAGACCAUCCUGGCUAACACGGUGAAACCCCGUCUCUACUAAAAAAUACACGUAGUUAGCCAUGCAUGGUGGCAGGCAUCUGUAGUCCCAGCUACUCGGGAGGUUGAGGCAGGAGAAUGGCGUGAACCCAGGAGGCAGAGCUUGCAGUG